UGCAAGUCGAGCGGACAGAUGGGAGCUUGCUCCCUGAUGUUAGCGGCGGACGGGUGAGUAACACGUGGGUAACCUGCCUGUAAGACUGGGAUAACUCCGGGAAACCGGGGCUAAUACCGGAUGCUUGUUUGAACCGCAUGGUUCAAACAUAAAAGGUGGCUUCGGCUACCACCUACAGAUGGACCCGCGGCGCAUUAGCUAGUUGGUGAGGUAAUGGCUCACCAAGGCGACGAUGCGUAGCCGACCUGAGAGGGUGAUCGGCCACACUGGGACUGAGACACGGCCCAGACUCCUACGGGAGGCAGCAGUAGGGAAUCUUCCGCAAUGGACGAAAGUCUGACGGAGCAACGCCGCGUGAGUGAUGAAGGUUUUCGGAUCGUAAAGCUCUGUUGUUAGGGAAGAACAAGUACCGUUCGAAUAGGGCGGUACCUUGACGGUACCUAACCAGAAAGCCACGGCUAACUACGUGCCAGCAGCCGCGGUAAUACGUAGGUGGCAAGCGUUGUCCGGAAUUAUUGGGCGUAAAGGGCUCGCAGGCGGUUUCUUAAGUCUGAUGUGAAAGCCCCCGGCUCAACCGGGGAGGGUCAUUGGAAACUGGGGAACUUGAGUGCAGAAGAGGAGAGUGGAAUUCCACGUGUAGCGGUGAAAUGCGUAGAGAUGUGGAGGAACACCAGUGGCGAAGGCGACUCUCUGGUCUGUAACUGACGCUGAGGAGCGAAAGCGUGGGGAGCGAACAGGAUUAGAUACCCUGGUAGUCCACGCCGUAAACGAUGAGUGCUAAGUGUUAGGGGGUUUCCGCCCCUUAGUGCUGCAGCUAACGCAUUAAGCACUCCGCCUGGGGAGUACGGUCGCAAGACUGAAACUCAAAGGAAUUGACGGGGGCCCGCACAAGC
rnacentral:rRNA from 1 species